rnacentral:rRNA from 1 species
AGGGUUUGAUCAUGGCUCAGGAAGAACGCUAGCGGCAGGCCUUAUACAUGCAAGUCGAGGGGCAGCAUUUACUUCGGUAAAUGGCGACCGGCGCACGGGUGAGUAACGCGUAUGCAACCUACCUUUAACUGGGGCAUAGCUCGAGGAAACUCGAAUUAAUUCCCCAUAGUACAAUAUAAUAUCGCAUGAUAUAAUUGUUAAAGAUUUAUCGGUUAAAGAUGGGCAUGCGUCUGAUUAGCUUGUUGGUAAGGUAACGGCUUACCAAGGCAACGAUCAGUAGGGGGUCUGAGAGGAUGAUCCCCCACACUGGUACUGAGACACGGACCAGACGUCUACGGACGGCAGCAGUAAGGAAUAUUGGGCAAUGGGCGCAAGCCUGACCCAGCCAUGCCGCGUGCAGGAUGACGACCCUAUGGGUUGUAAACUGCUUUUAUAUAGGAAGAAAAUACUCUUGCGAGAGGAUCUGACGGUACUAUAUGAAUAAGGACCGGCUAACUCCGUGCCAGCAGCCGCGGUAAUACGGAGGGUUCAAGCGUUUUCCGGAUUUAUUGGGUUUAAAGGGUGCGUAGGUGGUUUAUUAAGUCAGUGGUGAAAUCCUGCAGCUCAACUGUAGAACUGCCAUUGAUACUGGUAAACUUGAGUUUG